CUCUCUCAUUUCUUAUUUGCUUCAUUGCUUUUUUUCACUCACAAAACCCUCCCCUUCUCGUUCAUUUCUUUUCACUCACAAAACCCUCCUCUUCUCUUUGGUUUCAUAUUUUCUCAAAAAUCAUCAACUGGUUCGGGUGCUACUCUAGGAAGAAUCCAUCGACUGUUUCAGGACUGGCUUGGGUUCUAAAGGUGUGCAGCUUCGUUGGCUCAGCUCGGACGCCAAAGGUGUGCAACUUCGUUACCUCAGGUUGAACAUGGUAAAGGAGGAUACUUCACACGUGUGGAUGGAGACAUUUGAUCAAAUUUUACAUGCCAUUUUUUUUUUAUUGAGUUUCAUGUAUUCAAGAACAUUGAAUUUGUAGCAAACACAUGGAUAUUAAAGCGCUGUGAGAUACAUGUAUUCAAGAACCUUUUAAUGAAAAUUUAAAUUCAAGUUCCAUCUUA